UACGGGGGGGGGGCAAGCGUUGUUCGGAAUUACUGGGCGUAAAGGGCUCGUAGGCGGCCAACUAAGUCGGAUGUGAAAUCCCCAGGCUUAACCUGGGAAUUGCAUCCGAUACUGGAUGGCUUGAAUCCGGGAGAGGGAUGCGGAAUUCCAGGUGUAGCGGUGAAAUGCGUAGAUAUCUGGAGGAACACCGGUGGCGAAGGCGGCAUCCUGGACCGGCAUUGACGCUGAGGAGCGAAAGCCAGGGGAGCAAACGGG
rnacentral:rRNA from 1 species